UACGUAGGGGGCUAGCGUUGUCCGGAAUCAUUGGGCGUAAAGAGCGUGUAGGCGGUCCGGUAAGUCCGCUGUGAAAGUCGGGGGCUCAACCCUCGAAUGCCGGUGGAUACUGUCGGACUAGAGUACGGAAGAGGCGAGUGGAAUUCCUGGUGUAGCGGUGAAAUGCGCAGAUAUCAGGAGGAACACCGGUGGCGAAGGCGGGUCUCUGGGCCGAUACUGACGCUGAGGAGCGAAAGCGUGGGGAGCGAACAGG
rnacentral:rRNA from 1 species